GUAGCUCUGCACAGGACAGGGUGGAGAGGAGCCUGGAGAUCAAGAUGAAGGGAGAAGGCCGGACGAUGAGAGGGGAGUGAACCCUGGGCGUAAUGGUUCCACACCAAGAGAAGUUCUGAAGGUCAAGGUCCAGAAGCCAAGAUUCAGCUGGGCAGGCUGCAUCUCUACAAGGCAGCCUCAGAUGUUCAUUGUCAAAUGGAUGAACUGGGAAGAGAGAGAGAGAGAUGAGGGGUCGUUGUCCUUCCAUGUCCCUUCCAGCCUCAGCCUCAGGAGUGGCCCCAGUUUGCUGAUAUCACAGGAGAUCUGCUAUUUGAUCAUUUUGCCUGCCAACUUGGAUGUCUGUCUCAGCAGGAAACCAUUUAAAGAAAAUAAAUGAAUUCUCAGCACUUGACAUUUUCUGGAGGACCUGAGUCCUUUCCAAGUGAGCUCAUAUCAAGCACAGUUGCUAGAUGUCAGCCCUUGCAUGAAAUCAAGCAUUCGGCAAACAUCUAUGCAGCGUGGACUCUGCUGGGCCCCAGCUGGGUCCCUGAGCAGAGGGUCUGGAUUGGCCAUACCUCAUUUAUAUUGAGAUGAAUGAACUCCUUGUUCUUUGUACUGAGAGCCUGGAACACCCCUGAUAGGAGAGAAGGGGGAAAGGCAUCCUUUUAAAGACAAUUCCUUUACCAAGUUUGUUUCCCAGCGACCAAAGGGCCUUCCAGUGGAGCCUGUGGGGAAGCUGCUCCAUCUGGUGGUAAACAAGGACUUUCAUCAAGGGCGGCGAUGGGACUCUCAUCAAGGGCGGGCUGAAGGUGAACUUCUCUGAACGGAUGGAGGCAUCCAGUCCUGUAGCAAGCCAGUGGUCACCUAAGCCAGUCAGCCGGCCAGCAGCUCCUGGAGCCAAAGCAACGCCCCUAUCUUAACCUUCUGGGGGGUACAGGGCCCUUGAAAUCCAUAGGCCCCAGAAAAAAAGCACACGCACGUAAAGUUUUGCAUGAAUCUGAAAGUUGUUAGUCUCGCCCUUGUAGGAAGGUGCCGUGGGUGCUGUCAGAGGACAGAGUGGCACAGGAGAGCGUGCCAGCACUGAGCUGGGGGCUGGGUCUACCGCAUGGUGUAGUGACCUGAGUGCACCUGAGCAAGUCACUGCCCUCUUGGGGCCUCAGCCUCCUCACCUUCAGAAGACGAGGUCGAGCCAAUCAGCCCUGGCUUCACUUGAGAAUCUCUCGGGUAGCUUUAAUAAUACAACCCAAAGCGGGGUGGGGGACCAUCACUGGACACAAGAAAUGGAAGAGACCCAACAACCAAACAUGGUGACUGGGUCUUGUGUGGAUCCUGAGUCAACCAAGCAACUGUAAAAAGGUGGCCUGGAAGACUUGGGCAUGAACCGGGCACUAGAGAAUGUUGAGGGUUUGCUGAGAAUUUCGUUAGGUGUGCAAAUGGUAUGAAGAUGAUGCUAAAAACAAGUCUAUCAGCUGGAGAUACUCAGAUGAAUGGACAGAGUUUCUGAGAUCUGCUAUUAAAUUAUUUAGGGGGAAAAUGUAUGUGUUGCGGGAGCACAAGGGAAAAGUUAGCAAGAUGGUAAUUGUUGAGGUUGGGUGUAAAGGUCUGGAAACACCUGGCGAAUUUGCGUAACUCCCAAUGCUGUGUGCCACCCCUGAGAUUCUAACAGAAUUGGUCAACUGUGCAGCCUGGUCAUCAGCAUUUCUUUAGGCACCCCUGGAGAUUGUAAUGUACAGCGAAGUUUGAGAAGUGCUGAUGUGGAGUGCAUGGGAACCUAUUAUGAUUCUUUAUAUCUAACUGGAGGGUUGACAUUCUUACAAUAAAAAGUUAAAAUAAUACUGCAGCAAAGCUCCAUCCUUGGUAAUUCUAAAAGUUC
rnacentral:lncRNA from 1 species